UACGGGAGGCAGCAGUGGGGAAUAUUGCACAAUGGGCGCAAGCCUGAUGCAGCCAUGCCGCGUGUAUGAAGAAGGCCUUCGGGUUGUAAAGUACUUUCAGCAGUGAGGAAGGUGGAUAUGUUAAUAGCAUAUUCAUUUGACGUUAGCUGCAGAAGAAGCACCGGCUAACUCCGUGCCAGCAGCCGCGGUAAUACGGAGGGUGCGAGCGUUAAUCGGAAUUACUGGGCGUAAAGCGCAUGCAGGUGGUUUGUUAAGUCAGAUGUGAAAGCCCGGGGCUCAACCUCGGAAUUGCAUUUGAAACUGGCAAACUAGAGUACUGUAGAGGGGGUAGAAUUUCAGGUGUAGCGGUGAAAUGCGUAGAGAUCUGAAGGAAUACCCGGUGGCGAAGGCGGCCCCCUGGACAGAUACUGACACUCAGAUGCGAAAGCGUGGGGAGCAAACAGGAUUAGAUACCCUGGUG
rnacentral:rRNA from 1 species